CACCUCUCCUAGCUUCACCUGCUACCCACAUUGAACACGAUGAAGCUGAUUAUCCUGGCUGCCCUCCUCGCCAUGGCGGCCGCCUACCCUCCUGUACCCCUAGUGCCCAAGUACUACCCGGCGCCCCUUCACUACCCAGCGCCACUGAUAAAGGCGCCACUACCCCUCGCGCACUACUACCCCGGAUACUACCCCUACUUCAGGGCACCUUACCCCUUCUUGCACUGAUACUGACCAUAUCUGACCUGGAUUUUACAAGGCUUCUGACUACCUUAGUUCUGAUUUUUUACAUUUUGUAUCAAUAAAUAGUUUUUAGUUGGCA